GAUGAACGCUGGCGGCGUGCCUAAUACAUGCAAGUCGAGCGAACAGACGAGAGUGCUUGCACUCUCUGACGUUAGCGGCGGACGGGUGAGUAACACGUGGGUAACCUACCUAUAAGACUGGGAUAACUUCGGGAAACCGGGGCUAAUACCGGAUAAUAUUUAGCUUCGCAUGAAGCAAUAGUGAAAGACGGUUCUGCUGUCACUUAUAGAUGGACCCGCGGUGUAUUAGCUAGUUGGUGAGGUAACGGCUCACCAAGGCAACGAUACAUAGCCGACCUGAGAGGGUGAUCGGCCACACUGGGACUGAGACACGGCCCAGACUCCUACGGGAGGCAGCAGUAGGGAAUCUUCCGCAAUGGACGAAAGUCUGACGGAGCAAUGCCGCGUGAGUGAAGAAGGUUUUCGGAUCGUAAAACUCUGUUGUAAGGGAAGAACAAGUACGUUAGUAACUGAACGUACCUUGACGGUACCUUACCAGAAAGCCACGGCUAACUACGUG
rnacentral:rRNA from 1 species